rnacentral:rRNA from 1 species
UGAACGCUAGCUACAGGCUUAACACAUGCAAGUCGGAGGGGCAGCAUGGUCUUAGCUUGCUAAGGCCGAUGGCGACCGGCGCACGGGUGAGUAACACGUAUCCAACCUGCCGUCUACUCUUGGACAGCCUUCUGAAAGGAAGAUUAAUACAAGAUGGCAUCAUGAGUCCACAUGUUCACAUGAUUAAAGGUAUUCCGGUAGACGAUGGGGAUGCGUUCCAUUAGAUAGUAGGCGGGGUAACGGCCCACCUAGUCUUCGAUGGAUAGGGGUUCUGAGAGGAAGGUCCCCCACAUUGGAACUGAGACACGGUCCAAACUCCUACGGGAGGCAGCAGUGAGGAAUAUUGGUCAAUGGGCGAGAGCCUGAACCAGCCAAGUAGCGUGAAGGAUGACUGCCCUAUGGGUUGUAAACUUCUUUUAUAAAGGAAUAAAGUCGGGUAUGUAUACCCGUUUGCAUGUACUUUAUGAAUAAGGAUCGGCUAACUCCGUG